UCAGGCACCAAGACCCUGAGCGGCAGCAUCGCCACCAUGGACAUGUGUGUGCGUCACUUCAGGCACGCCUCAGGCUGCCGGGUGGAGGAAGCUCUGGAAGCCGCCUCGCUUCAUCCCGCCCAACUCCUGGGGAUCAGCCACAGGAAGGGCCAGCUGGACUACGGCUCGGAUGCAGACCUGGUUCUGCUGGAUGACCAGCUCAAUGUCAGAGCCACGUACAUCUCUGGAGAGGAGGUUUGGAGGAAAGGGCCGUAGGAGAAGAAGUGGAGGGCUCAGCUGGGACUCUCGUGCCUUCAUGUCACAUAAAAGACAUGUUUUAUUACUUCAGGGGAAAAGAAGCUGCAAACACAGUUUUCUAAGAACUUUACUGGUGUUGAACUGAUCAAAAUGAUGUUUAUCACAUGUAUGUGUCUGAUUGGAUUCAUUUUUACCGUCACAGAUCAAAUAAAUUCCUCCUCUUGCAGGUUUGUUGUGUUGGA